rnacentral:lncRNA from 1 species
GGCGGCAGCGUAGUAAAGUCAUACCAAAUUAAUUGGCACUGAGAUGACACUAGUCACAUAGAUCAAGUCCGCAGAGUGAAGUAAAUUUGAAUAUUGAAGUGCAGCCUUUUAAAUUUUAACUAUGGGCACACGACAAUUGGUAAACUUACUGAUUUAUUUUCUUCUCCAUGAUCGGCAUAGUUGGUAUUCGAUAACACACACAGAGUUAGAGCGUACGUUUUAUUUGGUACAUAAAACGAAGACACUGUGUAUCAGCUCCCUUGCACAAGCCAAAACGGGAGCAUGUGACUUGUACAUUAUUUAUGCAUACAUUUUUUUUCCCUAUGAUGGUCAAGAGGUAAUUAAAGCAUGCAUCACGAGGCAUGUUUCUCAGCCUUUCCGGCCACCGCCACCUCUGCCGCCCCUCGAGGGAGGAUCAUGCCCGUGGUUCGCCGAUGGCUCACCGUAAUCAGCGAGGUUCGCCGUCAAAGACCUUCUUGAUCCCAUGGCUACCAUCUCAUCAUGGUUCCCUGUUAAUUAGAUGCAACCGGUAAUAAGAUAUUUGUCUCACUAAGCUUAACAAUAAUAUAUUUUAGCAGUCCUCAUUUUUGUUUUUUAAAAAAACAAAAUUAAAAUAUCUCCAUAGUUACUUCUGUUGGAAUUAAAAUUACCGUCACUUUUUCAAAGGCAAAAGGGUAUUAUAUUUUUACCACCGCUCAUCGACAGGUAAUCUUUUACACUAACACUAACACUAACAUACGUAAAUGAUAGUCAAAUUUUUUAAGUCAGUUUUGGAAGCAUGAGAACUCUUACGGACUAAAGGGGAAUUUUAAUUACCCCUUAAUAUAACAAGAGUUGUUGAUGAUUUAAAACAAACACCGCAGAUUUAAUUAAAUCAUUGAAAAAUGAGCUAAACUAUGCAUUUGUAGAUGAAGCAAGGACAGUCUCUUGUGGAAGUAUAAUUCAAUAUAGUAAUAGAAAAUAGAAAAUCUAGGCGACCAAAUUGAAAGAAUCUAGCUGGCUGGCUUAUUGUAUCUGCACGCAGUACAAUACAGCCCUCAUCAAAACGUUUAUGAUCAUUCACGCAUGCACACUUGAUUAAAACGCAAAUAAUUAUGCUUAAUUAAAGAGGAUUAAAUGGGCAUUUAGCUAGAAAUAGAAAUGUUUAAACACUUCUUUUUAAGAUAUAAAAGCGUUUUUUAAUCCUUUUCUGCAACUUUGCAAGUGUUGAACAGGUACACUAAUGCCAAAAAUUAUAUGGUUCAAACACAAACUUUGAAGGAUAGGAUACGCAUGUGAAAAGAAGAAGAAACAAAUAAAUGCAUGAACUUGUUUCGAUGAAACGACUAAUAUCGAGAGCCCUAAAAGGCAAAAGCAGAAGCAAAUUACAUACCUGAAAUGAAAAGAGUGUUUCUUGCAGAAGCAAAAGCAAGCAAAAGAUAGAAACAAAACCAAACUCCAAUUCCACACCCCAUCUCUGCUUAUUAAUUUGCUGGUGACUUGUGGUUGUUUAUGCGAAUGCGGUGGAUACAGAAGAGAGGCCAUUUAUA